CCCUUAGAUGUUCUGGGCUGCACACGUGCUACACUGGCAGGUUCAGCGAGCUUCAUGCCCUGAUCUGAAAGGAAUGGGAAAUCUUUUCAAAACCUGCCGUGCUUGGGAUAGAUGUUUGCAAUUAUUCAUCUUCAACGAGGAUUGCCUUGUAAGCGCACGUCAUCAGCGUGCAUUGAAUACGACCCUGUAUUCUGUACACACCGCCCGUCGCUCCUACCGAUUGAAGUUUUCGGUGAGUUGACAGGAGGAUUUUUUUGAAACUGGUUCGCCUGUGGAUUUUAGAUCCAAAUGCCAACGAAUCGAUGGCUUUAGAGGAAGGAGAAGUCGUAACA
rnacentral:rRNA from 1 species